rnacentral:rRNA from 1 species
CACGUAGGGUGCGAGCGUUGUCCGGAAUUAUUGGGGCGUAAAGAGCUCGUAGGCGGCUUGUUGCGUCAGCUGUGAAAAACCCGCAGCUCAACUGUGGGGCUUUGCAGCUGAUACGGGGCAGGCUUGAGUUGGUAGGGGGAGACUGGAAUUCCUGGUGUAGCGGGUGAAAAUUGCGCAGAUAUCAGGGAGGGAAACACCCGGGUGGGCGAAAAGGGCGGGGGGUCUCUGGGG